UACAGAGGGUGCGAGCGUUAAUCGGAAUUACUGGGCGUAAAGCGUGCGUAGACGGUUAUCUAAGUCAGAUGUGAAAGCCCCGGGCUCAACCUGGGAAUUGCAUUUGAGACUGAAUAGCUAGGGUACGGUAGAGGGAAGUGGAAUUUCCGGUGUAGUGGUGAAAUGCGUAGAUAUCGGAAGGAACAUCAGUGGCGAAAGCGACUUCCUGGACCAGUACCGACGUUCAGGCACGAAAGCGUGGGGAGCAAACAGG
rnacentral:rRNA from 1 species